rnacentral:rRNA from 1 species
AGUGAACGCUGGCGGCAGGCCUAACACAUGCAAGUCGAGCGGCAGCGCGUCCGACCACCCUCGGGUGGUCGGAUGGCGGCGAGCGGCGGACGGGUGAGGAAUGCAUCGGAAUCUGCCUGUUGUGGGGGAUAACGUAGGGAAACUUACGCUAAUACCGCAUACGACCUACGGGUGAAAGUGGGGGACCUUCGGGCCUCACGCGAUGAGAUGAGCCGAUGCCGGAUUAGCUAGUUGGCGGGGUAAAGGCCCACCAAGGCGACGAUCCGUAGCUGGUCUGAGAGGAUGAUCAGCCACACUGGGACUGAGACACGGCCCAGACUCCA